rnacentral:rRNA from 1 species
ACUCCUACGGGAGGCAGCAGUGGGAAUAUUGCACAAUGGGCGCAAGCCUGAUGCAGCCAUGCCGCGUGUGUGAAGAAGGCCUUCGGUGUGAAUGCAACUUUCAGUCGUGAGGAAGGUGGUGUAGUUAAUAGCUGCAUUAUUUGACGUUAGCGACAGAAGAAGCACCGGCUAACUCCGUGCCAGCAGCCGCGGUAAUACGGAGGGUGCGAGCGUUAAUCGGAAUUACUGGGCGUAAAGCGCAUGCAGGUGGUUUGUUAAGUCAGAUGUGAAAGCCCGGGGCUCAACCUCGG